rnacentral:rRNA from 1 species
GACGAACGCCGGCGGCGUGCUUAACACAUGCAAGUCGAACGUGAUUUUUGUAGAAAUUCUUUCGGGAAUGGAAAUGAAAUGAAAGUGGCGAACGGGUGAGUAACACGUGAGCAACCUACCUUACACAGGGGGAUAGCCGUUGGAAACGACGAUUAAUACCGCAUGAGACCACAGAAUCGCAUGAUAUAGGGGUCAAAGAUUUAUCGGUGUAAGAAGGGCUCGCGUCUGAUUAGCUAGUUGGAAGGGUAAAGGCCUACCAAGGCGACGAUCAGUAGCCGGUCUGAGAGGAUGAACGGCCACAUUGGAACUGAGACACGGUCCAAACUCCUACGGGAGGCAGCAGUGGGGAAUAUUGCACAAUGGGGGGAACCCUGAUGCAGCGACGCCGCGUGAGCGAAGAAGGUUUUCGAAUCGUAAAGCUCUGUCCUAUGAGAAGAUAAUGACGGUAUCAUAGGAGGAAGCCCCGGCUAAAUACGUGCCAGCAGCCGCGGUAAUACGUAUGGGGCGAGCGUUGUCCGGAAUUAUUGGGCGUAAAGGGUACGUAGGCGGUUUUUUAAGUCAGGUGUGAAAGCGUGAGGCUUAACCUCAUUAAGCACUUGAAACUGGAAGACUUGAGUGAAGGAGAGGAAAGUGGAAUUCCUAGUGUAGCGGUGAAAUGCGUAGAUAUUAGGAGGAAUACCGGUGGCGAAGGCGACUUUCUGGACUUUUACUGACGCUCAGGUACGAAAGCGUGGGGAGCAAACAGG